rnacentral:rRNA from 1 species
ACGGGUGAGUAAUACAUCGGAACGUAUCCUGGAGUGGGGGAUAGCCCGGCGAAAGCCGGAUUAAUACCGCAUACGCUCUGAGGAGGAAAGCGGGGGACCUUCGGGCCUCGCGCUCAAGGGGCGGCCGAUGGCGGAUUAGGUAGUUGGUGGGGUAAAGGCCUACCAAGCCGACGAUCCGUAGCUGGUCUGAGAGGACGACCAGCCACACUGGGACUGAGACACGGCCCAGACUCCUACGGGAGGCAGCAGUGGGGAAUUCUGGACAAUGGGGGCAACCCUGAUCCAGCAAUGCCGCGUGUGUGAAGAAGGCCUUCGGGUUGUAAAGCACUUUUGUCCGGAAAGAAAUCAUCGGGGCCAAUACCCCUGGUGGAUGACGGUACCGGAAGAAUAAGCACCGGCUAACUACGUGCCAGCAGCCGCGGUAAUACGUAGGGUGCGAGCGUUAAUCGGAAUUACUGGGCGUAAAGCGUGCGCAGGCGGUGCUGUAAGACCGAUGUGAAAUCCCCGGGCUUAACCUGGGAACUGCAUUGGUGACUGCAGCGCUGGAGUAUGGCAGAGGGGGGUGGAAUUCCACGU